ACUCCUACGGGAGGCAGCAGUGGGGAAUAUUGCACAAUGGGGGAAACCCUGAUGCAGCCAUGCCGCGUGUGUGAAGAAGGCCUUGGGUUGUAAAGCACUUUCAGUAGGGAGGAAGGUAGUGUAGUUAACACCUGCAUUAUUUGACGUUACCUACAGAAGAAGCACCGGCUAACUCCGUGCCAGCAGCCGCGGUAAGUACGGAGGGUGCGAGCGUUAAUCGGAAUUACUGGGCGUAAAGCGCAUGCAGGCGGCCUGUUAAGUCAGAUGUGAAAGCCCGGGGCUUAACCUCGGAAUUGCAUUUGAAACUGGCAGGCUAGAGUCUUGGUAGAGGGGGUUAGAAUUUCGAGGUGUAGCGGUGAAAUGCGUAGAGAUCUGAAGGAAUACCAGUGGCGAAGCGGCCCCUGGACAAGACUGACGCUCAGAUGCGAAAGCGUGGGAGCAAACAGGAUUAGAUACCCCGUGGUAGACU
rnacentral:rRNA from 1 species